GGUGAGGACUUCACAUGUAACGGGAAGAUGGAUGCAUUUGAGUCAGUUUGAAGAUUUGUCUUUUUUUUUUUUUUAAUCCUCUUUCUAUUACAUUUGCAUGACUUGCUGCAUGUUUUUUUUUUUUUUUUUAAUCUUGAAAUUACAUAUUUGUUGCUUUCUAUCCAAACUGGAAUUGACACCUGAACUCUGAUGUUUCGAGGGCAAGUCUGGAAUUCCGCUAGUUCUGAACUAUUCCCAUUCAGUAAAAGUUCACUACUAGCAGAACUCAGAUUUGCUCCCGAUGACCGACAAGAGUCAAGACCCUUCAUGACCAGCAAUUAUCUCAUUUACUUUAAAAAACAAAACUGUUUUCCACAAUUAGAUGAUGUAAUUUUACACUGGUGUGAACUGAACAGUACCUACUUUUUUCCAAAGGUCACAUGUUCAUUUGACAGCAGGUAAUAUUCACCGCAAAAUGUAAAGUAAUUUUUCUUUUAAUCAUUUUGCUUUUGAAGGUGCUGAAUUGGUGAGUAAAUGCACAAUUUGUUCUUGGGUUGUGUGAUUAUGGAUUGAAACGGUGUCAAGGAGGCUGUUUGCAAUAGAAUUGCUUAAAAUCUGUCUAAUCCUGAGAGUCAUUAAAGAUUUGAUUGUAGUCUCAGUAUUGAUGUAAACUUUGCUUCUCCUAAUUUUUUGGAAGUACCUUACAAGUGUAAAUGAAAAUUCCUUAUGUGGAUAAGAAAUAUGAUGCCAUCUGGAGGUACAUAUGCACUAUGCUACAUGUAAGGCCUAUACAGUAAAUAUUUAAAACGAAUUUGGAAAAAAAAGUUUGUGUGCCAACAACAAUUUUAUCGAGUUGUAGUAGGUUUAAUUUGGAUUCUAUGUCUUGUCUUGCUACACAUCUGUGGACUUUGGACAAUCUACUUACACAGAAAUUUGAAGCUCGAUGAACAAAAUGAGGACUUACAGAAAACUAGCAGACUUCAAAAAGCUAAAGAAAAACAUUCGGAGCCUGUCCUUGGAACAGGCUGUUCUUGGACAAGAGCCUGUCCUUGGACGAGAGGGAGUCAAGCCAGAUAAGGCAGUCCACAGAAAUCCACAUUCCGAAGGGAGUGUUGCUGACUUUGUAACUGCAGCCAAUUCAAGCUCAUCAAGACUGUAUUUAAGCCCUGGCGAUCCAACAGAAGGGUGGAAGGAAGAAUCCCGCUGGCUCAGGAAGGAAGAAUCCCGCUGUUUUGCUUUGUUUUGUUGUCUCAUCGGCUCUCUGCCAACCGCUUAGGUUAGUAUUGAUCCCUGUCAACCUACUGUCAUGGACCUAUUGUGUUAUUCCCUCUUUUCCGCAAUCGCAUGUAUUUUUGUUUGUAUUCAAUAAACCCUUGAAUACAUCCCUCCAUUGUUUUCUGCUUUGAAGUACAACCUUGUUUCCGCAGUAGUGGACCCUAACAUCGGCAACAAAA